rnacentral:rRNA from 1 species
UACGUAGGGGGCUAGCGUUGUCCGGAAUCAUUGGGCGUAAAGCGCGUGUAGGCGGCCCGGUAAGUCCGCUGUGAAAGUCGGGGGCUCAACCCUCGAAUGCCGGUGGAUACUGUCGGGCUCGAGUACGGGAGAGGCGAGUGGAAUUCCUGGUGUAGCGGUGAAAUGCGCAGAUAUCAGGAGGAACACCGGUGGCGAAGGCGGCUUGCUGGGCCUUACCUGACGCUGAGGAGCGAAAGCGUGGGGAGCGAACAGG